GAUCUACUCCCUCUGUUCCGAAUUACUUGUCACACAUAUGUAUGUAUCUAGAUGUAUUUUAAUUCUAGACACAUCCAUUUCAGCGAUGAGUAAUUUGAAACGGAGGGAGUACCAG
rnacentral:pre_miRNA from 1 species